rnacentral:lncRNA from 1 species
UCAGAUCAAUUAUUGGGCAACUUGGGAAAAUACAGCUUAUCACAUAGGAGAACUUAACAGGUAGGAUAUCAUCACAAUCCAAAAACUACAACUUGAUUAUGAUAUUUCAGUGUAUCCAGCUUCAUAUUUUUUUUAUAGAUCUCCUCAUAAUAAUUCUGCUCUCGACUGCAACAGUAAUUCAUUAAUAUUAACAAAAAAGAAAGAAAUAAAAAAUGGGUUGGUGGAUCUUACACAUGCCAGUAGGCAGUAGCUAAGGAUGGUUAGAUACUUAUGGUAAAUAUUUUCGAAUUAGUUUUCUAAGAUUGGAUUUCAAGUCCAGACUAUUUCGAAUUGUUUUAACCAAUAUUGGAAGGAUUUCAUGUUUCACACGUUGAUAGGUCUCCAGAUAACAAUUCUGCUCUCAAUUGCAUUAACAAUCUUCCAAGAUAAUUUAAUCCUUCACCAUCUCGACCUCCGCCCCAAAAGAGAUCAUGUGGUGAGGCUUCAACGAGAACAGAUCCUGCGGUAGAUAACAACAAGGCUUUCAAAUGAGGGUAGGUUGAGAACUUGCAUUUUAGAGCUGAAUACAUAAUGUCAAUCUUGACAGAUUCCCAAUCAGAUCGUACCUGGUUAAGAUCAAUAGAAAAAAUUGUUCAAAACUUCAAAUUGUGGACUUUUUCAUAUUUUGAGAAAAUUUAAUUGCAAUGUACCAGGUUACUGUGUUUUUUUUGUAACAUCCUUGCCAAACGAGCUGCUGCUUCAGGGCUCUUUGCAAGCUUUAUUUGCUCAACAAAAUCAUGUACUGUUGUAAGAUCAGUCUGCCCAAUAAACUUUUGUGACUGCAGUAGCAGAAAAGUUAAAGGUGUGUAACUUAGAAUUAGGUUAUUAAUUUAAAUUAGAUUGUGCAUAAUAUAAAAGAAAAUUGCCCAAAUUUUGACCUGAUAAUAGUGCUCCACAGUUGACCACUCAUAGUCUUGUCCAUUUUUAUCAGGCAUAUGUAUAGAAUGUGGAGAGAAAUUUGAAAAAACACCGUAAGAAUCCCAUGUUUUAUAGAAGAAUAUGAUGUUUGCAUCAUAAGAUGUAACCAUUGGAUCAAUAGAGGUAGUAUCGUUUUUAAAGGGGAUCACUGGUAUCAUAUCAGGUAUGGGCUGCAGAAAGCCACUGAUAAGCAUGUCCCGGCCAAUCUGUCCAUGAUCAAUUUUAUAACAUAUCAUUCACAAAAUAAAGAAAAUGUCUAUAAUUUUUAACGUUAGGCUUUGAUUUUGUUACGAGUGUAUGAAUCAUCCGCUUUUCACUAUGUUUUGAAUUUAAACUAUGAUGGUUCUCUUCUAAAUGUGUAACAAUUUAGGGCAUAAAAAUCUCUAUGAUCCAGGGUAAGAGGGAGGGUUUGUUACCAGGAUAGGGAUAGGUACUUUACUCAUAAAUCCUUAUUUUACUCUAAUGAUUUUAUAAUACAACGUUUUACCAAAAGAAAAAGUAUAUGUUAAAGUAUUUGGAAUCAAGGUUUUUUAUAGGCCACACAUGUGCCGCAUGCAUCAUGCUUCCAUGGGCGUAUCAAAAACUUUAUUUGAAAUCACAUUCACUUGUGUUAACUUCCAAUUAUGACUAUAGAAUACAACAAUAGUAUCAAUCCAAAUAUCUAGAAAGCUAGAAUAUUGUAAACUGAAGUUGAAUAUUGAUUUAACCAGCAUGAAUUUGAGAAUGUUACCUGCUCAAACGAGACAUCCAUCAAAUUAAGUGCUUGAGACAUUUCAACCAUCCCAAGUUCACCGACUGGAGAUGGAGCAUUUUUUCCACCAAUUAUUUUAGGUGAGACAAAAGCAUAUACCUGUAUUACAUGUAUGAAGAAUAAGAGUAAAAUAAUAUGAUGCAAUACAUAAACUUAACUCUUAUGUUUAAAACAUUGCAAAUUAAAAAGAUAGUUAAAGAGGAAAAAGCUGACAUAAAAUUUAGAAAAUAAUAAUAUACUAAUAUUUAAUAAAAGAAAAGAUAAGUUCAGACAAACAAUAUAGAAGGGUAAACCAGGAAGGUGAAGAGUCGUGGACAUUGUUUAUCAUCAGAGACACUAGUCACGAUCAGGUAGUAUCCAAUUGCAUCCUUCUAGCCACCAGAGAACUCUUCAGAGCUCACUGGUAGGUUUGACAUGACCAGUCACAUUGCAUUUCCCACGACCACUCAGAGCAUCUAAGAUAAUCCAUUACCUCUCUGAAAUUGGUGAUCUGGAAAAUGGACUUUAUAUUCCAUUUGUUCUUGAUUAAGCAGGACAGGGCUCUGAUGGAAGUCCUCUUUAUUUUACUAAUGAAAAUGAUCUUUCAUCAAAAUAAAUAUAUAUAUAUAUGUACCUUAUGGAUUACACCGGCACCAAUAGCUGAUGCUGCUAAUUCUCCACCGCACUCCCAUAAAACAGACAAAUAGCCACGACUGUAACAAUACUCCAUAACCUCUCUCGGGUUCAAGACGUCAAAUUCUAUAACCUCAACACCUUUUGACCUAAGGAGUUCUUGGAAGUUCUUUCGAGCACCCCUUUGUGUUAGAACUAUAGUGUAUCCAUCAUCUACAUUCCAGAGAUUUGCCUCGUUGGGAAGGCUAAGAGUCCGUGACAUCACCAUUCUUACAGGAACAUGUGUCCCUCCAUGUCUUGCUGUUAAGUGGGGAUCUGAAAAAAACAAAUAAACAUAGGGAAUAUUUUAUAUGAGGAUAUAUAUAGUUAUUUACAAAUUGAUUUGGUUUGAUUAGUUUUUUUUUGAAACAGUUAAAUAUUUUCAAUUUUUCAUUAAUCAUAAUGAAGGAUAUUGCCUUGAUUACAUUGGGGAUAAGCAUAAGCAUAAAUAAGCAUAAACAAAUAGAAUAUGGUAAAGAGUACCAGACUCAUUUGACACUUUCCACACAACCAUACUGCCUAGUGUUGGGUACUAGGUUAUCUGUCUUUGGAGGUUGGUCUCCCAUAUUUGUAUCGUGCUAUGCCCCAAUGGAUGAUAAUUGACAACAGCUUUUCUUGAAGCCCUUAGGAUUGAAGGAAAAGCUUGUCAUUUAUGACCUCGUUGAGUACCGUUUCGGGUGGUCUGAGUGAGUGUUGCUACCAUCUCCAGUUUCUUUCUGCCCAUAUGUGCCAACUUAAGGCUCCAGUCGUGUUCCAUAAUAAACCCCAAAUUGGAGAGUGACGUGUUAGCUUUUGACAUGCCUCAGUAAGGUCACCUAGCCUAAUGUAUGGGUGUGUGGUUGUGGGUGUAGGAAUGUUCAUGAUUUUCCAGAAUAUGUUGUCUAGUUUUUCUAUUAAGGGUAAUAGAAUGGCUCGUGUAAGUGUAGUUGAAAAAUAGGUGACUUCUCGUUUCAUCUUCAAUGUUGCAUAAUAAGCAGGUGGCUUGGUUUAGCAUGCCCCACCCAUUUAGUCUGGUGAAAGUGUUUAUAUCAAAGUUUGAGUUGCACCAUAGCGCGUAGCGCCGGCACUUGGCGCUAUGGGGAGAUAGCGGGAGAUAGCGCGCUAUAGCGCCUACAUAGCGCCAAGUGUAUUUUUAAAUAUUCAAUAUAUUAUAAAGUAAUAGUGAAUAUCAUACUUAACUAAAGAGUAGUGAUCAAGUGUGAUCAUUAAUUUUAGAAUUCAAAAUAUUCCUAAAUAUUAAGUUUUAGGAGUCAAAAUGAUAGUCCAAAACUCUAAAUGUCUCAUAGAUGCAAAUCUAUUCUUCUUCUUCAAUUUCCUCUAGCAUUUGAGGUUGCAUCCUUCUUUUACUUCUUUGGUAGGUUCGUCGAAAUCUUUCACAAACUUCAUCAGAAAGAUGAGCUUGAGUAGUGAAUGGUCUUGCUUGACCACUCCUCGUAGAAGGCCCGGGAUGCUCUCCUGCUCCGACUGCUUCCUCUACCAUGCUCCAUGUCAAACCUUCCUUAAUGUAUACAAACUCCUCAGAUUCUCCUUCAAUAUUUAUCAUCCAUUCACUUGUAAGAUUUAAUUCUUCUAGACGGAUGGGGUCAAACUUUCCCUUGCCAUCUUCCUCAAGCAUUAUAUUUUUUUGUAAUCGUUCCUCAAGCUUUUUAUUAUAAUUCACAAACACCAGAUCAUCUAGUCGUUUGAUUUUCAAUCGAUUACGUCUCUUGGUAUGAAACUGCAAUUGGGGAAUACAAAAUUAAGAAUUGUAGAUCAAUUGAAUUUAAGAAAUUCAUACUAAUGAGGAUAAUACUUGCAUGCUCAAACGUAUUCCAGUUCCUCUCACAACUGGAUGCGGAACAACAAAGUCCAAUAAUCCUCAUGGCAUAGGUCCUCAAUUCAGGAGUUCUUGAUCCAAAAUGUUCCCACCAUCGAACUAAAUUCAGAAAACGCAUAAGAUCAUUGAAAUUCAGAUUGAAUUUCAGUUUUUAUGUACUAAAAUGAUACUUGCUAGGCUCUAAAUCCUCAAUUGCUAGUUCAGCCACUUUGGAAGAAAAUCUUCCGAAUUUGUUGAUGUAGAGGCUUGAAUCUACCACUGCCUUAGUUCGUUGGUGCACAUCUAGCAUCAUGUGUGCUAUACAAUCUUCAAAUGCUUCUUGACAAGUGCUGGCCAAUUCUGAAAAUUAUAUGGCAAAUCAUAUCUUUGCAAGUUGUAAAACACCCUAGGAUUUAGGAAACCACCAACCUUCACAAGAGGUGAUUGGUAAUGUUUUGCCUACCGCUUGUCCAUCAGAUUCUAAAUUGGUUUAUAUUUACUUUCAUCAUCGUCGGAAUUGGUUUUCACAGCACAUCUAGCAGCUUCGAAUGCACCAACUAGAUAUGGCAUAGUCGGUUUUGUGUCACCAUCAACCAUCCUCAGAACAACCAAAAUGGGUUGUGAAACUCGAAGCAAAUCCUCAAAAGUUAUCCAAAAACGGGUGUUGAUUAUUAAAUCAGAACCAUCUAACCCAUGACCUUUUCUAGCCCACUUUUCCCAAUCAAAACUCCUCAACUUGGAUUUGCUUUCAAAUAAACUUUCGAGAGUAAGAAAAUUUGUCGCAAACCUAGUUAUUCCGCAUCGUAUAAGCUCUUUUCUGUUGUUAUGUUUCAGCCAUGCAGAAUGUAGGGUGGUAUGCUGGUAGACGUGCAUAGAAAUCUUGCGACCAUUGCGAAUAACAUCAUUGUACAUUGGUAGCUUUCCAAUGUCUUCAAGUAAGAGGUCGAGAACAUAACCAGCACAUGGAGUCCAAAAUAGGUGAUGAUACUUGUCCAUUAGUAUCUUUCCGGCCGCCACAUAAUUGCUUACAUUGUCAAUGCAAAUCUAAAAUGAUAGAAAGGCAUUUUCAAGAUCUACAAAUGAUUAAUGAAGUACUACAAAUAAUAAACAUUUUACCUGAACCAUAUUGUCCUUGCCAACAAUCUCUAUUGCAUCUUCAAGACCUUUUGCAAUAAAAUUUGCAGUUUUCUUAUCGGCAGAGGCAUCUAUCGAGUGCAAAUAGAAUGUUCCCUUAGUAGAUUUCACCAAAAAAUUAAGGACACUUCUCUGUCGACGAUCAGUCCAACCGUCGGACAUGAUCGUGCAUCCUCCUUCCAUGCGAUCUCAUGUUUCUUUUUCAAUUCUUCAAUGCUUUUGACUUGGCGUUGAAGUAAGUUGUUGCGGAGCAUGUACAUGCUGAAAGGUCGAUAGUUCGGACCAUAUCGUCCAAUACCUUCAAUCCAUGCAUGAAGUGCUGGAUUGUUAAUGACAUUGAAAGGAAUUCCGGCUAUCACGAAGAACUCAGCUCCAACGUCAUCUAAAAUCUGCUUCUCUUGUUUCUUCGGGUGAUCAACUAUGGUGGUUUGUCUUUGCUUCAUAUGUUUCUCCUGUGCACGCUUUUGAAUAAUAGAUUGAAGUGUCACUCCCCUUUCCAAACCUAAGGGACCUUUCACCUUAAUCAUAGUUCCGGAUGCGUGCGCAUAUGCACGAAUGCACCUUGGAAGAGAGAUGCGCCAGGCGCAUCUCCCUUAGCAUGCGAUUUUUUUAAAAAAAAUAUAUAUAUAUUUUUUUUUAUCUUCCUUCAUCUUUUUCUCCAUCUCAUUUCAGAGAUUAGGGUUGUGUUUUUUUAAUUAAUUUAUUGUUUUUUUAGGGUUUUUGAAAUGGCUGAAUUUAAUGAAAACAAUGAGGGUGAACUCCAACCUGAACCUAUAGAUGUAAAUCAUUUGUUUUAUAAACGGCUAAAGAAGACACAGGAUCACCUAUAGAUCGUAUUAUGUAUUUCAAGUUUGAACUAGUCUAUGUGUUUUGAACUACUUUAACUAUUUUGAUAUAUUUUAUGAAGUAGAUAUAUUUUAGGUAUAUAAAAAAUAUAUGAAAACCUUUAUUUUUAUAUAUAUUUACGAAAAUGCCAUUGGCGCAAAGGCGCGCUUUUGCGCGCAAAAACACGCAAAAGCUCAAGUGCUCCAAGUGGUGCCGCAUCGCGCAGAGGCGCAUCCUGAACCUUGACCUUUAAUUCCCGAUGUAGAGGGUUUCCCAAUUGGAGUGCCACUUUUGGUUUCUACCUUCCGCUUCUUCUUUUGUGGAAUGGCUUCAACAUCCACAAUAGGAAUGGGCAUUUCUUUUUGUUUCUAUUAGAGAUGUAAAUAAGUGGGAGAGAUACUCGAUCCCUUUUCAUUCACAAUGAGUAUCAUAUAUAUAUAACUUAAUACUACAAUAACAUGUAUCAUAUCACUAAUUAGUAUCGUAUACUAAUUAGUGAUAUGAUACAUGUUAUUGUAGUAUUAAGUUAUAUAUAUAUGAUAUGAUAUAUAUGUAUCAUAUCACUAAUACACCCCCCUCAAGUCUGAUGAUGUGAACAAAUCAGCUUGUCCUUGAGAUCUUUGAAGAGUUUGGGCUUCAAUGCUUUAGUGAGAAUAUUUGUUUGUUGUAGAACAUUCGGUAUGUGUUGCACAACAACAGUUUUGUCCUCCAUUCUUUCUUGAACAAAUCUGAAAUCCAUGGCUGCAUGUUUGAUUUUAGAGUGAUAAACCGGAUUGGCAGUCAAAUGAAUUGCUCCUAAGUGCACAAACAAUGAAGGAUCAGAUUGACGCAAGGUUCCGGAUGCGCCUCUGCGCGAUGCGCCGCCACCUGGAGCAUCUGAGCAUAUGCACUCAGAUGCGCCAGUGGCAUUUUCGUAAAUAUUUAUAAAACUAUAGGAAAUUAAUAUUUUUUAUAUAUCUAAAUUAUAUAAAUUAUAUUGGAUAGAAAAAUUAUUAUAAUACAUAUAUUUAUUAAUUAUUAUAACACUCUAUAAUUCAUUGUAACACCAAGGUUUAAAAAAAAACACCAAGGUUUAAAAACCGGUUAACCAUUUAGGGGUAUUUUCGUAAUAAUAUAGCUCUAUAAAUGGCUAGGGUUUCUUUAAACUUAUAAAAGAGAGGCUUUUAUAAAAAGAAAAUAAUAAAUAACCCAAGAGACUUUUAAAAAAUAAUAAUGUAAUGGGCUGGGCUUUCUUUAAUACAUCUACAACAUAAAAAAUACUCUAUAAUAAUCAUUUAUUUAACCACACUUUUUUAGUCCCACAUCGAUAGAAUCAAGCUUGUUCAUGCGACGCCUAGGCGUCGCAUAUGCGACCAUGCGCUCCAGCACAUGUAGGCGUUUGCCUUCAUGCGCUCCAGCACAUGUAGGCGUUUGCCUUCAUGCGCUCCAGCACAUGUAGGCGUUUGCCUUCAUGCGCUGGAGCGGGUUAGGCGGGUCCGGGUCGGAUCUGACCUGGACUCGCCUAACCCAAUAGGUCUGUUUUAUUAUUUUUUUUAUUUUUUUUUUAUUUUUUUUUUAAUUUAAAUAUAAGGCCCAACCACCCAUUUAAAUAAGAGGUUGAGGGUUUUAAAAAACCCUAACCUCUUUUCUUUCUUGUUUCUUGCAUCUUUUUAACCCUAAAUUCAUAGAAGUCAUAUAAUCUAUGUAUUUACAUUUUAAAUUUUAGAUUAAUAGGGCUAUUACUUUGUAUUAGUAAUUUCAGGUUUUAAAAUUUAUGUAUAUAUUUUUUUAAAAUUACCCAUAUUUUUUAGCAAAUGUAUAUAAGUUCAGGGUAAAUUUGCAAAAUUUACCCUAUUUUCAGGCGACCGCCUAGGCGUCGCCUGAAGCGCCUAGGCGGCCAUGCGGUCAUGGCCAUCGGAUGACCGCAUGGUCGCCUAAAAAACCUUGGAUAGAAUUCAAAAAACACAAAGAAGGUUGGUCUAUAAAUAAAGAUUCAUUUUGACUAAAACAAAUAUGAAGUCUAAAGAGUGGGAGGAGCUUAUAUUAAAAAUAAUAUAGCUCUUUUCAUGGACCAAUGUAUAAAUUUUUAUGCUAAAAAUUUAUAAGGUCUUAAAAUAAAAUAAAAUUUGGCAUUUUUUUAAAAAUAAAAACAAAACACUGUUUUAAGUUAUUUAAAUAACUUAAAACAGGCCUGGAUCCGGGUCGGAUUUUACCCGGAUCCGGCUAAGGCGCAUCUCCCUAUAGGGGCGCAUCAUCGCAUAUGCGCGCGCACCCGGAACCUUGGAUUGACUUGAUAUAAAACCCAUUAAAUUCAACACCAUUUUUAGUCUGCGAAACCACAUCCUUGAAGAUUGUUUGAGACCAUAGAUAGCUUUCUUCAAUAGGCAGACGUGAUUUGGACAUGAUUCAUCCAUAAAGCCUCUAGGUUGACGCAUUAAAAUCCUCUCUUCCAAUUAACCAUGUAAAAAUGCAUUACCUAUGUCAAUUUGAUUAAGUUUCCAACCUCUUGAGACUGCAAUAGUUAAUACUGCACAAAUAGAUACAGAUUUUAUAACUGGACUGAAUGUCACAUUGUAAUCUCUGCCUUCAAUCUGAUCACUCCCAUUUGCCACUAGCCUUGCCUUCAAUCUGUCCACACUGCCAUCUGAUUUUUCUCUGACUUUAAACAGCCAUAUAAAAUUAAUCACAUUGUCUGUUGGCAUCCUUGGUACCAACUCCCAUGUGCCAUUAUUAACGAGCGCAUCAUAUUCUUUCUUCAUAGCUGAUUUCCAUCCUUCAUUCUUCAAAGCUUGCUUGACUGAAGAUGAAACUGAAAUUUCAGAAGCUAAUAUAGACAGUGCAUACCUAGGAUUAGGCUUCUUAAUCCCUGCAGCUCCUCUAGUGAAGGGGCGCCUCUCAUAAUCAGUUAAUUUUACUGAUUUUGAAAUUGAGAACUCAUCUCUAGAGCUUGAAUCUGAAGAAAUUAGUGAUAUGAUACAUAUAGAUAUAAUUAGCCAUCCUUGGAUCAAAUCCAGCAGCUCAUGUCCUCACAAGAUGACGACAAAUUGUGUGCGCCAAGCAAAGUAGUUUGAGCGGUCCAGCGUCACAAUCUUCAGAUGCUUGAUGAAAACUAUCUUGGAAGCAUCUGAAUUUGCGACUCCACUCCUAUCAACAAUGCCGUCCUCCAUUGCAGCGGAAUUCAAGAAAAUGAAGGAUUGUUGAGGAGAAAAUCCAGGAUCGAGGAAGCUCUCUUUCUAACAAACUGAUACUAUAUUAGAGAUGUAAAUAAGUGAGAGAGAUAUUCGAUCCCUUUUCAUUCACAAUGAGUAUCAUAUAUAUAUAACUUAAUACUACAAUAACAUAUAUCAUAUCACUAAUUAGUAUCGUAUCGUAUCGUAUCAUAUAUAUGAUAUGAUUAAUACUACAAAUAACAUAUGUCAUAUCACUAAUUAAUAUCGUAUCAUAUAUAUGAUAUGAUAUAUAUGAAUUGUCAGCAGAGAAAUUAUAAAUUAUAAAGGAUGUGAGCAUUGCAUAUGAUUCUACAUCCUAUAAGAAGCACAAUCUUUCACAGAUUGAAAUACAAGCUAUAUGCUCAUGGGAGUCCAACCUCUUGAGGCUUCAAUCCUUGGCCAGUUAGUCAGGGUAAUAGUUGCAUAAGAGAUAGACAAUGUUUUUACAUUUACUGUACUUGCAUUUCCCUAUAUUAUUCUGUAAUCUUGGGCUUUGCCCAACCUCUUUUUCAGUAAUGAAAGUUUUAAUUUCUCCAAAAAAAAAAUAUAUAUGAUAUGAUAUAUAUGUAUCAUAUCACUAAUACAUAGCGCGGGUAGAUAUCACCAGCUACCCGUGCUAUGGGCGAUAUAGCGCGCUAUCUCGCGCGAUACUCAAACAUAGGUUUAUAUGUCCCCAUUUUAUUUUCCAGAGGAGUAUGGAGAAUUUUGUGGGUUUGUUUGACCAUAUUCCCUCGCUAGAUUGUCUCUAUGGCUUUUAUCCCUAAUUAUCUCGGCUAUUUUUGCAAGUUUCUUGUUUGAGGUUCCAUUUUUCCACAGGAUUAUAUAAUUUGACCACACUCAAUUAGUGCAUCUGCUUUGGGACUAUCUCCCAAAUUUUCAGAAAUGGGAGUCUGUAGUGUUUUUUAUCUAAAUGCUUGAAAGGGCCCUUCCCUUUAUGUAUCUCCCUCUAGUAUUGAGUCUGAUUUUUCCCAAAAGUUUUCAAUUCUUUUGAUGUUUAUGGCAGGUACUAUGACGUCUAGGUUUCUUACCCCUAAUCCUCCUUCUGCUUUAGGUAGGAUCAUUUGUUUCCAAGGUAUUCUUUUUCUCAUAUCCCAUAUGAAGUUAUAUGCUAGUUUCCUUAACUUUUUUGUUAUAGGUUCAGGCAAAGUUGUGCCUUGGGGCUUGGGCCCAAUAGGUGUAUUUCCCUGCAAGAAUCCAGUUUACUAGCUGGAUUCUUCCCCCAUAUGAGAGACAUUUCCAGUUCAUUUUGCUAGCAUGUUCUCUAUUGGUUGUAUCAAUUUCCAGCACUGAUUAUAGGAUUUUUUCUUCCCUGUUAUUAGUAGGCCUAGGUAUGUGAGAGGGAGGGCUUUGAUGGGGAAGCCAAGAAUGGCUUGUAGUGUUUGAUCUUCAGCACAGACCUUGGAUAAUGUCAUUGAGCUUUUUGUAGCAUUAAUUUCUAGCCCAGAGAAGGAGAAGAACUUUGCUAGGGUUCUCUUAAUUGCAUUUAGAGAUUUAUUAUUUGCUUUGGAGAAAAUUAGUAUAUCAUCUGCAUAGAUUAGACGAGAUAUGGAUGUUGCCUCAUUGACUUUAUGUGUCUAUUUUCUUGGCUUCUACUUCUCUUUCUAGUAAUCUACUUAGGACAUCCAUGACUAUAUCGAAUAAUAUUGGGGAAAGGGGAUCUCCCUGUCUUAUUCCUCUUUGAUUUUUGAAUGGUGGAGUGGGGGUGCCUUCUACUAGUACUGAAAAUGAUGUUGUUGUGAUACAAUUCUAUAUCAUUUUGCAGAGGUGGGUGGAGAAGCCAUAUGCUUUUAGUGUGUCAAUUAUAGCCUCCCAUUUGACUGUGUCAAAUGCCUUCCUUAGGUCAAUGUUUAGGCAACAUCUUUUUGGUGUCCUUUUCCUACCAUACCCAUGUAGCAUUUCAUCUGCCAAUAAAGUGUUGUCUGAUAUUAGCAUGCCAUUGAUGAAAGUAGUCUGGUUAGGUGAUAUAGGUUGUGGCAGGACCUUGUUUGUUCUGUUUGUGAGGAUUUUCAUCAUUAAUUUGUAUAUUAGGUUCACACAAGAUAUUGGCCUGAAAUAACCCAUUUCAGCUGCAGUGUUUGUUUUGGGAAUGAGGGUGAGGAAGGUGUGAUUGGAGGCCCUUAGGAGAAGUUUUCCUUUUAAUAAUUGAAUCAAACAGUCCAUUAUGUUAAUUUUUAGUUCCUCCCAGAAUUGAGGUGAAACCAUCCGGACCUGGUGACUUGUUUGUGUUGAAGGUAAAUAGUACCUCUUUUACUUCUUCCUCAAGUAGUUGUUGUAUUAUCCACUCAUUCAUCCCUGGGAUUACUAUCCUUGGGAAUAUUGUUGGUAUGACUGGGUGUGGGGAGUUUCCUUUCUUGAAUAGAUUUUUGAAAUAGGUCAUAAUGUUUAUUUCUAGUUGGGAUCUUGAGACAUUUUGGUUCCCCUCCCUGUUUAGUACUUUAAGUGUGGAGUUUUUUGCUUUUUUUUGUUUUGUGGCUAUGCUGAAGAACCUAGUGUUUUUGCCCUGUUCCUUUAGCCAGGAGUCUUUGCUCCUUUGCUUUAGGUCUGAUUCCUCCCUGAGGAGCAGGGUUUUCAGAUCUUUCCUCAGCUUCAGACUUUUGGAUUGUAGUUGAAGUGAGUUUAGGUCUCUUUCCAAGGUUGUGAUAGUCUUGUCUAAAUUCCUUCUUGUUUCCUUUACUAGCUUUGCAGAGUUUCCUUUUUCAGCAACCCAUUGCUUAAUUCUCGUUUUUGCUUCCUUUAGCCUAUAUUGCAGCCUAAAUAGGCAUGUUCCUCUGGUAGAUUUCUUUAGUUCUUCCUUCACUAUCUCAAAGAAAGCCUCAUCCAGCCUCAUCCUCUAGCCAAGAAUUAUAUAUCCUGAAUGGUUUUGCCCCUUUCUCUACCUGUGAUAAGAUAAUAAUUAUGGCUUUGUGGUCACUUGUGCCACUGUGGAAUUCUGUCCUAGCUUCUGGCCACUUAUUUAUCCAAGACUGGUUUAUAAAGGCUCUAUCUAAUUUGGAGUUUUGGACUAUAUGAAAUUUGGUCCAGGGGAGUUAUUUGUCCAAGUGUAAACCCCCAAUAAUACAAAUGAAACAAACGUAAAAUAAACUAAUCAGAUUAGUUUAUUUUACGUUUGCCUCAUUUGUAUUAUAUUAUCCAGUUUGCAUAUGAGGAUGUAUUUUUAAGUUGAGACACUGAGCUAUUACCUAAAAUGUUCUUGGAUUGUUGUUAUUUAAAAAUUAAAACCAUAUAAAAUUUUAUGAUUGCUUUAAGAAUGACGAUCGCUUCUUUUCAUUUUUUUUGAAGCAAUUACAUUUCUUUUCAUUUUUGAAGUUUGAACUAUUUGUAUGUUCACUAAAAACAGUUUUAAUCUCUGUAGAUUAGCUUCUAUUGUAAAAGGAUAAUAUUAAAUGCACAUACAAGAUAAAAAAUGAUAUUUUGUAAACGGGGCUUAGCCAUGUCUAGUGCCUACUCCUCAGGGGUGAUUGGGUUGCUCCUACCCUUAGUGAUCAAAGAAAAUUCGAGUUCACGAUUACAAGAGACCAAAGAAAUACUUAUACAUAGUGGUUAUUUAGGGAGUCGAACCUUAAUGAUUAUCGAUCAGCCCUAGAUAACUAACUUAUUUCUCAACCAGUCCAAUAAGAUGUUCUCAAAACCGGUCAUAGACUCAAUCCUAAGUGUGCUAGGACCCCUCCAUUGUGGCGGAGUUCAUCAAUACAUCCCACACCCACAGUCUGAAAGUGGUUUUCCAGGCAGAGUCUACCAGAAAUUACAAAUGAAAUAUUUUACUGAUUAUUAAUGAAGGAGAUGGAAUCGUGGAGCGGUCGAUUUUAAAUCUAGAAGUGCAAUACGAUUGCAUUCCGACAAAGUGCUGCAAAUGUGUUAUAAAUUUGUCCGCCCUUCAAGUUUAUACAGGUCUAUACACCUGCUACCCCUGCCGCAACUAAAAAGCACGCAUUGUAAACGACAAAAUAGAAAAGAAACGAAAUGAGAAAAAUCGCUAGGAAGAAAGAGAGAAAAAACAAAUAUAGUAGACAGUCUGCAACAAAUCUCCCAAACAGUAAGACUAUCCUCUAUAAUUAUAUACGUUUAGACAUGUUCCAUAUAUAACUCCCAAAUUACCACAUACCCCCAAUAACAGAUAGUCUAGAGUUUUCUUUAGGCAAUAUGGUUGUGUGCAAAGUGUCACAAUAUCAAUAUUUAUAUUUUAUGCUUAUUUCUAUUGUAUUUUCAAGGCAAUGCCCUUCAUUUUUCAUUAAACGGAAACAUUUAACAGCUUCAAAAAAAAUAUGCUAGGAAGAAAAACAACCAUACAAAAACCAAGGGAAAGAGGGUAGUAAGGAGAGCUUCUACACAAAAUAUCAAAAGAAUUGCAAAAUUCUGGACAAAAUCAGACUCAAUCUUAAACAUAUGGAUCCAAGAGAGAUACAUAAAAGGAAGGGCCCUUACAAGCAUCCAUAUCAGGAGCACCAUUGAAUCCCAUUUCUGAAAAUAUAUAAUGAAAGAUAGCCCCAAAGCUACUGCACUAGUUGAAUGUAGGACCAAUUAUACAAUCCUGAAUCCUCUGGAAGAAUGGAAACCCAAUUAGGAAACUUACAGCAAUAUGUUCAGAUAUGACUGGAUCCUUAAGAUGACACAUAUGGGAACAAGCUUUUUCAGGCGACCAGGCGAUGCCUGGGGUCGGAUAUGCUACCCAAUAUGUGACAUUUUUUUAAAUUUUUUUACUUACAAAAAAGUGAAAAAAACCCUUAAAGUAGUUGGUAAAAACCUCCGGCGAGCUUAAAGGAGAGGUCCGGCGAGGUCACAGGAGCUCCGGCGAGGUGAGAAGAGAGGAGGAAGAAAUGGAUUUCCGUUUUUUGGCAAGGGGGAGGGUGGCAACAGUUAGAUUUUCAGAUUUAGGGUUUUUUUACUUAUAUAUAGGAUUUGUUAUUUUUUAUUUAAUUGAGUAUUUUUUUUAAGGUCCUUAAGUUGUUACAAAAUAAUAUUAUUCAUUACAAUUUUUUAAUUUUUUACUUGGGUAAAUGGGUCGGGUUAAGCCGGAUCCGGCUAAGCCCCAUAAAUAUGCGACCCCCCAAAUAUGCGAUGGGGGGAUUGCGCCUGGUCGCAUAUGUGACAAAUCAAAAACCUUGUAUGGGAAGGAAGAAAUCGCAGAUAGAAACAACAUACUCUCAGGCCACCAGAAACAGUGCUAAAAAAGGUAACCAAGGACAUCAACAUAUCCUUUAGUCCUGAAUGCUUCAAGAAAUGUUGUUGUUAUCCCUUGAGACUAACACAAUGCAGAUAUGGGAGACCAACCUUUGGAGUUUUCUGGAGGCAGAUAGUCUUGAGUUUUCUUUAGGCAAUAUGGUUGUGUGAAAAGUGUCACAAUAUUUAUAUUUUAUGCUUAUUCCCAUUGUAUUUUCAGGGAAAUGUCCUUCAUUUUUCAUUAAAUGGAAACAUUUAACAACUUCAAAAAAAAUGCUAGGAAGAAAAACACCCAAACAAAAACUAAGGGAAAGAGGGUAGUGAGGAGAGCUCUCCCCUGUGUUCCAUUCAUAGUUUGAGUCAAGCUUUUUUAGGCGUUCAUGCGGUCAUGCGAUGGCCAUGAUCGCAUGGCCGCCUAGGCGCUCGCCUAAAAAUAUUGGGUUUUUUGCAGAAUUUACCCUGAAGUUAUACAUAUUUGCAUAAAUACGUAUGGCCGGAGUGCGAUUUAUGGAUGUCCGGAAUGAGAUAUAGGUCUGGACAGAUAGGAAAAAUAGAAAGAAAAAAAUUGGGACAAAAAAAAACCUAGGUCGACGAUGGCCGGAGCUGCCUGAAGGUCGUCGGAGCACGCCCUGCAGGUCGCCGGAGUGUGCUUUGUGGUCACCGGAGUGUUCAUUUGUGGUGACCGUAGUUUCCCUUGAAGAUGGCCGGAGAAAAUGGGUGUGGGAGAUGAUCUGAAAAUCUAAGGUUUUAGGGUUCAAAGGUGGGAGGGAAGGGAAGAAACAAGAAAGAAAAGAGGAAUUAGGGUUUUUAAAACCCUCACUCUCUUAUUUAAAUGACUUAAGUCAUUUAAAUGGGCCUUAAAUGAGCUAUUGGGUUAGGCCUUAAAUGAGCAUGAAGGCAAAUGCCUACAUGCGCUGGAGCGCAUAACCACAUAUGCGACGCCUAGCGCGGGUAGCCAGCGCGCGCCUAACGCAUGAAAAACUAUGGUUUAAGUUGCGCGCGCUAUAGCGUACUAUAUACCCCAUAGCGCAGAUAGCCGGCGCUAUCUACCCGCGCUAUGAGUAGUAGCCCUAUUUCUCCCCAUUUCUCUUCUAUAUUCACGAUUUCUCCCUAUUUCUCCUCAUAUCUCCCCUAACCCUAAUCACUACUCUUUAGUUAAGUAUGGUAUUUAGGGUGUCAAGUAAAGCUCGGCUCGAUGGGCUCGGCUCGGGCUCGUGAGCCCAACGAACCGAGCCCAAGCCUAAAGCUCAAGCUCGUUAAGCUCAAACUUCCUUUUCUCUACAAAUUACUAUCGAUAAUGUGAGUAUUGAUCUAGAUCAGAGAGAGUGAGCAAUUCAGCAUUGCAUCGUUUCACAUCUGAAGAUUGAGAUUAGUGUGUGAUGAAUCAGAUCUGGGUGGGGAUAGCAAGUUUCUUUUACAGAAUUAUAGCCAACACAGCCAAGCUGGUAUAGGAGACUAGGAUGAGUUUAGACUCCUCAGCAAUAACCCUAGAAAGUAGAAACUAACCCAUCCUCAAUCCAACUGCAAAUUAAAAAUGUAGAUCUAAGAAAAUAAAUUGAAAUCCCUACUGCCAAGAGAAGGUAACCUGAUUUAAGGAAAGGGACAAGAACACAUGUGUUUUUUAUAUAGCCACCAAACUAAGGCAAAAAAUUCUACACUUAAAGUACUAAAUAGAAAUGGUAAUCAAAAUAUGACAAGGACAGAUAUGAAAGCAAACAGUAUGAAUUAUUUCAAAAACCUCUUCAGUAGAAACAACCUACCCCACCCUGAUAAAAAUCAAAUCAGAAUAUUGAGAGCGAGAGCCACCAUUUUCUGAGAGAAAGAGAGAACUUAAUCUUCAGAGAUCAGAUAUAUUCUUUGUGAAUAGACCAACAUGACCCUGACUAGUUAUGUUGGGGGUAUAUUGAUAAUUUGAAAGUUAUAGAUGUGGAGCAUGUCUAGGCGCAUGGAAGAAUAAUUGCAAUCCUUAUUGGGCCAAUUAUUAAGUAAUUAAUUGAGAAUUUGAGACCAACCCAAUUAAUAUCACAUUAUAUAUACUGAUAAUUAUAUUACAUUGUAACCCUAAUUUUGUGAUUUGAUCAUUUGAUUAAUACAAAGUCAUCACCACGGUAAAAGAGAGAAGACGUACACCAUUUUGAGUGGAACCUCUAUAAAUCUGUGUUCUUUUCUUAUUUAUUUUCCUAAUCGUCUACCUAAACAAAUCGAAUGCCACCACAUUGUGAGGAAGUGUCAAUCUUGAAGGUAAUCAAGUCGUCGUUUGAUUAACAAGUUAGCUAUGGACUGAUCCCUCAAGAUGUUGAACUCCCAUAUAAAUCAAUAUGUAAUCAUUUAUGUAACAAUGCAAUAGUAAAUAAUCCAUCAAGAACAAUAGUGCAAUACCAUCAAGACGUACAGUAUUUCCUCCAACAAUAACAGCAUCACUUCUUCCUCUUAAAUCAAACACCUUAUUUCGAGAUAGUUUGCUGCUUAUCCAGGAAGAAUGUCCACUGGUGCACGCAAUUUUUCCUGAAAAUCCAUAACAUAACAAUGAACAAAAAAUAAACAUCUAAUUUGUAGUCAUAUCCAUAUGAACAUGAAUGCCCUCCAGGAAGGAAAAAAACUAGAGAAAUCAAGCAAUUUUUGGUAUAAAUCUACAAAGCAGGUCGGAUGAAGCUCACCAUCUAAAGUCAUGGCAUACUUGGUAACAGAGUACGGAACACCAAAGGCAGUACCAUACAGUAAAGGAGCAUUGACAAGGAGGCAAGAUUUUAAGGCUUCCUGAACCAAUUUGAUGAAAACAACAUUAGACAAUUAAGAGGAAGAAUGCCACAACUUAUUAAUUAAUUUAAUUCAAACAUUAAAAAUGUAAGAAAUACUGUAAGUAAAAAUGAAUUUAUAAUCAUAUAUAUUGAGUAUAAUGGUCAUGUGAUGAGAGAAGGGUGAGUGAGAGAAUUGAGAGGGGCGAUUAGGGUUUCUGCUAGGGUUUCUGUGAGUGAGAGAGAGGCGAUCAGGGCUAGGGCUCUGUUUACAAAAAGGACCAGUGGACAAUUCAGCCUAUACUACUGAACAAACAAGUUAUACAUGUAAAAAUCAACAAUCAAGGGGGAUUGGAAUUGCUAGCUACCAUUAUAUAUGCUAACAACCUGAGGGAAGAAAGAAGAGACCUCUGGGAAAUUUUAGGCAGCUUGCAAUCUACUACCAAUGAGCUACCUCUAUUAUGAUUUUAAUUAUUUUGAUUAUGAUUUUUAUUAUUACUUAUAAUAUCAGGGAAUUAUAUAAAAUAUAGAAAAUACAGAGGGUAUAUUGAAAAAAGGUAAAAAAAUACAUUAAAAAAAACGUCGCAUAUUGGGUCGCAUAUGCGAGAGUUUUUUUUUAAAUAAUUUUUUUUUUGGCCUGUUUUUUUUUUUAAUUCAGGACCGGAUGAUCCGACCCGGAUCCGGAGAGGUCGCAUAUGCAUGCGCAUCCGGAACCAUGAUUAUCUGUACAAAUUUGAACAACUUUUUCGACUCCUAUCCUUUUCAUCGUUUUGUCUAAAGUAGAUACAAUGUAAUCGGCAGUCUUCGUUUCGACUGAAGCAUCAAUAGAGUGAGUAUAAAUAAAAUGAACCCUUGGUUGAAUUCACUAUAAAGUUUAUAAUCGAUCUUCCCCUUUUAUCCGUACAGCCAUCAGACAUCAGAGAACAACCAGCUAGACCCCAAGAUUUUUCGUAAAUUUUCUUCAUUUCAUCAAUUUCAAAAACCAAACCUUCCAAAAGAGAGCCACGUAAUCCAAUUGCUUCACACAUAACGUGAAAAUGAAAACAAUCUCUUGCAUUGAAAGGGAUGCCGGCGUUGUAGAAGAAUUUUGCCACACAAAUAUUUUGCCACACAAAGAAUUUGCCACUACAAAUAAAUUCUAUUUCGAAUGUAUCCAAAUUUGAAUACCAAACAAAUUCGAAUAUAAGGAUAUCCACCGAAAUCGUUCAUUUGAAAUGACUAGUAUUGCUUGAGCCUCUUGUUCCUCUCACUCCAGAUGUCCUCCAAGAUCUUCCUUUUGAUUUAAUUCAAUUUCAAACUUUUAGAUGCGCUCGCCUAGGCGGACAUGCGGGGCAGCACCUCCAAGCAUUGGGUCUUAAGGCACUUUGUUAGGUGCCGCUUUCAUAACACAAGCGAUCAUACAUCCAAUUCCAUAGCAUGAAGCCAUGAACGCAUGAAUGCUUGUAAAACCUUGCUCGCUGCUAUAUUCCAAUUAACAAACUGAACUGCCUCCUCCCGAUAUGAGAGACAUCUACAGCUCGGACGCUCACUCAAACAAAUCAAUGAUUAUAGUAUUUUAAUUUCAUUUGUGAGUCUAUUUAUAAAAUUAAACAAAAUUCAAUCCUUUAUUUGAAAAGAUGGAUGGAAAAAUGUAUUAAGAUUUAAAAUACGACGUAUCUGGGCUCGCCUCAACUACGAGUAUCCGAUCGGAUCUGGGUCUAGAUCUACCCAAUAACCCGCCUAUAAUUAAUUUAAAAAUUAGAAAUAGGAAGAAAAGAACGUGUUGUUUUUCUUAUCAGGGUGUUCCACCAGACAAUAUCUAGUAUGCUAAAUUGCUAAUUUCUAUUUGAAUUAAUUCUUUAUAUCAAAAUUUAUAUAUUUACUUUCUAUUAGUGAAACAGUAGAAAGUAUAUGGGAAAUGGGAAAUGGGAAAUGGGAAAUGGGGGAGAUCAAAUGAUCGAUCCCUCCUAAAAUGUCAUUAAUGAAUAUAUAUACAAUUAGAAGGGAUUAGAUCUUAACAGAAUUGUACUAACAGAUUCUGUUAAGGCUUAUCCAUUAGAAUGUUCUAGAAUUAAACUACUUAGCUAGCUAAUUACAUUAGUAAGAGUAAUAACUAGCUAAUUACGUAUUACACCUUUAUAACGAUAAUACUAAUAGCCCUCCACAAGAUCAUCUAUGAUCAUCGAUGAGAUUGAUUUUGAUGUUCAUAAAUGGAGUAGGCCACUAGGCCUUAGUGCUUUGGUCAGAACAUCAGCCCUCUGCUUGGUGUUUAGAAUGUGUAUUACUUCUAAGACCUUCUCAACUCUUUCUCUCACAAAGUUGAAGUCUAUCGCAGCAUGCUUUAUCUUUGUGUGGAAUACAGGAUUAGCAGCCAAUUGUGUUGCUCCCAAUUUGUCACUCCACAACUUAUAUGGUCUGUCAAUCUUUAUGUCCAUUUCAUACAAUAAAUUCGCUACCUAAUCCAAUUCUGCUGUUGCUGAGGUGAUAGCUCUAAACUCUGCUUCAGUGCUUGGUCUUGACAUAGUACCUUGUUUCUGUGAGCACCACAUAACCAAGGACUGCCCCAUAUACACUAAGUAUCCAGUAUUCCAGUCUGACUUCUUCUGUCUGUAAUAUUCCGGAAAAAUUAGGGGUCUUAAUAGUAAAAGAAAACCCUAAUUACAGGAGCAGAAUUGGGAAAUUUUAGCUAAAAUAGGACAGAACUAGAGCAACUCAGCCUAACCGAUUGGGUUAAGGUCAAUUAGGCUAGGCCUAAUUAAAGUUAAUAAGUAAUUAGGUUAGUCAAGUAUGGGCGAGGCCUAAGUGGGUCUGAACUUAAGUAAAUAAAAUCUAGUGGACCUAUUCGAAUUGGGCUGAAUCUAAAUGGUUUAAUUAAAUAAGAAAAUAAAUAAGAUUUCAACGUAAGGGUAAAUUAGUCAAUUAGAUUAAGAAAACGUUUUUUUUAAAUAUAAGAGCAAUAAGGUCAAAAGAAUAUUCUUAAUUGAUUUCAAUUUAAGGUUAAAUUAGUCGAUAAAAUUAAAGGAAGGAAACAUUUUUAAAAUAGGGGCAAAUGGGUCAAAAGAAUCAAUUGAAGAGAAUAUUCUUAAUUGAUUGAGGAAAAGAUAAAGGAAAGAUUUAGACGAAAUUGAGGAGGGAGUUAAAUCUUUAAAUAGGAGUUGUUAAAAAUAGAAAAGAGGGGGGGACGGAAAUUUGAAGGAAGUGGGAAGACUCAGCUAGGGCUAACAAGUGUUAGAAGAAAAACUAAGAGGAGAUCAAGGUACGUGGAUAUAUUCAAUCCUUCUACUAGAAUAAUUUUAGUAUGAAGUAUUGUUAUUAAAAAUGAAAUGAAAUUAUGUAAGGAUAUAAAUGAUUUUUGGUUUUAGGAUUGUAUCUCCAUUGGAGGAUUUGAGGCCUGUUUUCGUACAACAAAGUUGUUCGAUUGUUUUUUUUGGUUCAAGGGAAGUUAAAGUUUUCUUCUUUUCUUUCUUCGGUUUGUUUUCUGUUUUCUUUUUCUGUUUUUUUGUUUUUCUUUUCUUUUUUCCGUUUUUUUUCUGUUUUUCCUGUUUCCUGUUUUUCUUUUUUCUUCUUCUGAUUUUCUGAUUUUGUCUUCUGAUUUUCUGCCUGAUAUUUCAGUAUCAUUGCUAGAUAAUCUCUGGAGUUUUGGUUUCUGAGUUUUGUUCUAUAAAUUAAUUUACUGGACAGCAAAAAAAAUCCUUAUGAACACGGGACUAUAAUCGUGGACUGGGCUCCACGAGGUCUCUAAGUUCAGGAUUUGCGCUGCCCUAGGGCUAGAAGCUCACGCUUAAGCCUUAGACACCCAAAUGAGACACCCACAUGGUUGAUUUUAAUCAAUGAAAUCAAGAGAUGGGUCUGAAUAAUUGGGUUGGUUGUUGAGGUUAAGCCUCAACUCUAUAGACCUACCGCCUAUUCCAGGGUGGUGGUCGAGUAAAUUUAAAGGUCUGCGUUUCGUUUUCAAAGUUUGAGUUAACGAACGAGAGGUAAAUUAAACUAAAACCUAGUCGAUUUAAAAGUUUGAUUUUUUUUACUAAUGCAAACCGUUUCAUUACUCGAGGAUUUAAAUGACAUUUCGGGUUUUAUUUCAACGUUAUGUUUUCUUUGGAUCUAAUAACGAAAAGUGUAAAAGGGAAAUCAACGAGACCUAAGGAACCCUAACCAAUGAAUUUAGGAAUGGACAAAAGGGGCGGGUCAAGCCAGUUCUUGGAAUGGUACUUGACCCGAACUAUUCCCAUCCACCAUCGGGUUAAAUCCUAAAGGAACCCAAGCCUUGAAGUUAGGGAUUUAGAGGUGAACGACGAAAGGAGAAGAUCGAGCAAGUCCCCGGGGUGACACUCAAUCUAACCUCCUCUCUAUUCACCGAAGAUCCACCAAGGUUACGGACCAAGAUUUGGAUUGAGUGGAACACUCAAUCUCUCCUCACUCAUGCCCAAUCAUACGAAAUUACGGAUCCUUAGGGAUUUGACGACACAUGAAAUGAACGGAACUUAACGGGCCUGACGAGGCUACAUGACCCGACGGAGUUUGACGGCAUGGCGAGGGUUUGCUCGAUGACCCAUGUAAAGGAAAAGGGGGGUUCAUAAGAACCUCUAUUGGUAACCAAGGAGGGCUGAUAUGCCCUAAAAGAAAUUCAUGAACUAUAAGAUUGAUUAUAUAUUCACGUACUAAGUUUUUGAAACUUACCCAUGUAAAUGACAAUUUUAUUGCAGAAUAAGGGACGGCUUGGAAUGGACUGGACAGAGGGUUUCACACAUAAAUGGAAUCCUAGGAUAUUAGUUAAAUAAAGAGUCUAUUUGGUUUCCGCUAGUACUUUGAUUUUGUUGUGUACGCCCAUUCGGGCAUAUGGAUCUUGAUUGUAUGUUUAAUUAAAUUUGGGAAUAACCCUAUUUAAAUUAAGAAAAUUCAGGUUAUUACACUGUCAGUCUCAUCUGAAACCCAAUCUGCAUCACUGAAUGCUGAAAUGCUGAAUUCCUUGCUUUUUCUGAGUACAAUUCCCAUACAUUAUGUUCCAGACAGGUAU